UUAAGCGACUAAGCGUACACGGUGGAUGCCCUGGCAGUCAGAGGCGAUGAAGGACGUGCUAAUCUGCGAUAAGCGUCGGUGAGGUUGAUAUGAACCGUUAUAACCGGCGAUUUCCGAAUGGGGAAACCCAGUGUGUUUCGACACACUAUCAUUAACUGAAUCCAUAGGUUAAUGAGGCGAACCGGGGGAACUGAAACAUCUAAGUACCCCGAGGAAAAGAAAUCAACCGAGAUUCCCCCAGUAGCGGCGAGCGAACGGGGAGGAGCCCAGAGCCUGAAUCAGUGUGUGUGUUAGUGGAAGCGUCUGGAAAGGCGCGCGAUACAGGGUGACAGCCCCGUACACAAAAAUGCACAUAUUGUGAGCUCGAUGAGUAGGGCGGGACACGUGGUAUCCUGUCUGAAUAUGGGGGGACCAUCCUCCAAGGCUAAAUACUCCUGACUGACCGAUAGUGAACCAGUACCGUGAGGGAAAGGCGAAAAGAACCCCGGCGAGGGGAGUGAAAAAGAACCUGAAACCGUGUACGUACAAGCAGUGGGAGCCUCUUAAUGGGGUGACUGCGUACCUUUUGUAUAAUGGGUCAGCGACUUAUAUUCUGUAGCAAGGUUAACCGAAUAGGGGAGCCGAAGGGAAACCGAGUCUUAACUGGGCGUUAAGUUGCAGGGUAUAGACCCGAAACCCGGUGAUCUAGCCAUGGGCAGGUUGAAGGUUGGGUAACACUAACUGGAGGACCGAACCGACUAAUGUUGAAAAAUUAGCGGAUGACUUGUGGCUGGGGGUGAAAGGCCAAUCAAACCGGGAGAUAGCUGGUUCUCCCCGAAAGCUAUUUAGGUAGCGCCUCGUGAAUUCAUCUCCGGGGGUAGAGCACUGUUUCGGCAAGGGGGUCAUCCCGACUUACCAACCCGAUGCAAACUGCGAAUACCGGAGAAUGUUAUCACGGGAGACACACGGCGGGUGCUAACGUCCGUCGUGAAGAGGGAAACAACCCAGACCGCCAGCUAAGGUCCCAAAGUCAUGGUUAAGUGGGAAACGAUGUGGGAAGGCCCAGACAGCCAGGAUGUUGGCUUAGAAGCAGCCAUCAUUUAAAGAAAGCGUAAUAGCUCACUGGUCGAGUCGGCCUGCGCGGAAGAUGUAACGGGGCUAAACCAUGCACCGAAGCUGCGGCAGCGACACUAUGUGUUGUUGGGUAGGGGAGCGUUCUGUAAGCCUGUGAAGGUGGCCUGUGAGGGUUGCUGGAGGUAUCAGAAGUGCGAAUGCUGACAUAAGUAACGAUAAAGCGGGUGAAAAGCCCGCUCGCCGGAAGACCAAGGGUUCCUGUCCAACGUUAAUCGGGGCAGGGUGAGUCGACCCCUAAGGCGAGGCCGAAAGGCGUAGUCGAUGGGAAACAGGUUAAUAUUCCUGUACUUGGUGUUACUGCGAAGGGGGGACGGAGAAGGCUAUGUUGGCCGGGCGACGGUUGUCCCGGUUUAAGCGUGUAGGCUGGUUUUCCAGGCAAAUCCGGAAAACCAAGGCUGAGGCGUGAUGACGAGGCACUACGGUGCUGAAGCGACAAAUGCCCUGCUUCCAGGAAAAGCCUCUAAGCAUCAGGUAACAUCAAAUCGUACCCCAAACCGACACAGGUGGUCAGGUAGAGAAUACCAAGGCGCUUGAGAGAACUCGGGUGAAGGAACUAGGCAAAAUGGUGCCGUAACUUCGGGAGAAGGCACGCUGAUAUGUAGGUGAAGCGACUUGCUCGUGGAGCUGAAAUCAGUCGAAGAUACCAGCUGGCUGCAACUGUUUAUUAAAAACACAGCACUGUGCAAACACGAAAGUGGACGUAUACGGUGUGACGCCUGCCCGGUGCCGGAAGGUUAAUUGAUGGGGUUAGCGGUAACGCGAAGCUCUUGAUCGAAGCCCCGGUAAACGGCGGCCGUAACUAUAACGGUCCUAAGGUAGCGAAAUUCCUUGUCGGGUAAGUUCCGACCUGCACGAAUGGCGUAAUGAUGGCCAGGCUGUCUCCACCCGAGACUCAGUGAAAUUGAACUCGCUGUGAAGAUGCAGUGUACCCGCGGCAAGACGGAAAGACCCCGUGAACCUUUACUAUAGCUUGACACUGAACAUUGAGCCUUGAUGUGUAGGAUAGGUGGGAGGCUUUGAAGUGUGGACGCCAGUCUGCAUGGAGCCGACCUUGAAAUACCACCCUUUAAUGUUUGAUGUUCUAACGUGGGCCCCUAAUCGGGGUUGCGGACAGUGUCUGGUGGGUAGUUUGACUGGGGCGGUCUCCUCCUAAAGAGUAACGGAGGAGCACGAAGGUUGGCUAAUCCUGGUCGACAUCAGGAGGUUAGUGCAAUGGCAUAAGCCAGCUUGACUGCGAGCGUGACGGCGCGAGCAGGUGCGAAAGCAGGUCAUAGUGAUCCGGUGGUUCUGAAUGGAAGGGCCAUCGCUCAACGGAUAAAAGGUACUCCGGGGAUAACAGGCUGAUACCGCCCAAGAGUUCAUAUCGACGGCGGUGUUUGGCACCUCGAUGUCGGCUCAUCACAUCCUGGGGCUGAAGUAGGUCCCAAGGGUAUGGCUGUUCGCCAUUUAAAGUGGUACGCGAGCUGGGUUUAGAACGUCGUGAGACAGUUCGGUCCCUAUCUGCCGUGGGCGCUGGAGAACUGAGGGGGGCUGCUCCUAGUACGAGAGGACCGGAGUGGACGCAUCACUGGUGUUCGGGUUGUCAUGCCAAUGGCACUGCCCGGUAGCUAAAUGCGGAAGAGAUAAGUGCUGAAAGCAUCUAAGCACGAAACUUGCCCCGAGAUGAGUUCUCCCUGAGACUUAGAGUCUCCUGAAGGAACGUUGAAGACGACGACGUUGAUAGGCCGGGUGUGUAAGCGCAGCGAUGCGUUGAGCUAACCGGUACUAAUGAACCGUGAGGCUUAACCUU
rnacentral:rRNA from 1 species